rnacentral:lncRNA from 1 species
UACCACAAAUUAAUUAGGUUUAGUUGAACCAAACAUACCUUAUACUUGGAGCAUCCCCAAAAUUGCUUGCCUCGAUUCUUCUUAGUUUUCACAGUUCUCACCACAGUAGCAGAUCGGUGAAGACGUACCAUUUUGCUUCCGCCUGGCGCUACAACUCGAUGAAUAGCAAGAGUGAUCCUUGGACAUUGUGGAAGAACACCCACCCGCGUCGCAGAACUACAAGCUCCACCAACCCAGCCAAGAACCCUAAUUUCUCUAAUUUCCCCAAUUUCGCAGAUUUCCCCUCUUUUGCAGCACCACCUACCUGACCUCAAAAUAGGUAACAUUGUUAUGCUUUACUGAUUUAUAAAUAUAUUUGGAAAAAAUAUUUAUUCUUUUUUAUUUAGCCAAUAAUUUUAAAACUUUUUAAUCCCCCUAUGCACUUCAAACUCAUCCACCCGGAAGCGUCAGCGUGCCACAUGUCAAAAAACUUCACGACGUUAUCUGCAUUUAACGAAAAGGGUUUUAUUGA